rnacentral:rRNA from 1 species
CACCGCGGUUAUACGAGAGGCCCAAGUUGAUAAAUGCCGGCGUAAAAAGUGGUUAGUACUAUAUUUUACUAAAGCCAAACAUCUUCAAAACUGUCAUACGUUCUCGAAGACAGGAAGCUCUUCUACGAAAGUGGCUUUAAAUCAUACACUCCACGAAAGCUAGGGAA